rnacentral:lncRNA from 1 species
ACUUGCUUCUUCCCUGGCUCCGGACCCCUUUUUUGAUGGCCUGCAAACCUUCUGACAAAGAAGCUGCCUUGAAAGACAAAAUGGGUCCAGCAGGGAAUUAGACAGAAAAUAUUUACAGACUCGGUGAACCAAGAGCUGGGUGUUCCGGGCUGUUGAAGAAAAUGGAGUAAUGGGAUAGAAGCUGCUUUCAACUUCCUGCUGGUAAAGAACAAGCCUGUGUCAACAAGAGACCGAAUAAGAAACCCUCAAGGAGGAGACGUGGGAGUUGCCUUCAUUCAUUGGAUAGAGUGCCGCAGCACAGGAUGCUCUGAGAGGCCAGCACCACACCCUCUUGACCAUGCUGUAGCCAUAAAUGUUCCAGAGGCAUCUGAGAAAACCACUGCAGAAUACACAGAGCACAGCUGCAUUUUGUCUUCUCCACCUACAACAGGGUUUGCUCUACCCUGCCAUAUCACAGGCUCCUGAAAAGACCAACUCACAGCACCACAGGAUGUGAUUAAGCCUUGGAGAAGAUUAAUUACCCACUUUCUUAGGAGUCGGUCUCUCCUCGCCACUCACUCAAGUUCCUUUACCCCCCACUAAGCCUCUGAAAGAAUCUAACAUCAUAAACAAGGAUCUCAUUAGCAACUUGAAUUCGGGCUGCAGAUCUUUUGUGAAGAUUUGGUUACAGAUGCUGCUUUAACUUCUGAGGAUUAUUCUUCAGCAUCCAGGGAGACUCCAGUUGCUCUCCUGGGAAAUGUUCUCUCACUUGAAUAACUCAUCUGUUCACCCAUUGGCAUAACUGCUGCCAGUUCCAAGCACCUGCUGAGGAGUGGACCCAGAUUAGGCCUCUGGCAGGGCUACAAAGAACACAUUUCAGUGUUGGACUUCCCAUUCCAUUUGCAUCUUCAGGGGAAGUUAAUGUCCCACUCAAGUUUCUCUCAGUUAGGGUGACAGGGAGAUGCAGUUCUUCAAAUGCUGUCCUCAAGUAGAGAGGGAGACCACAGAGCUCCGACUGGCUUGCCAGCCCAUGGAGCCAUUUUUUCUUUGGUGGUGGAUGCUCUCGGUGUGGCCUCUAGAGCUCCUUUCAUGUUCCUUUUCUCUCUGCAUUCCCACCGCUCUCCCCUCAGGUGGGUCCACAUCACCUCUCGCCUGGACCUCAGUCUGUCUCCUCUCUGCUAACCAGGGUAUCUUCACUUCCCUGCAGCUUUCACACAGCAGCCAGAUUAAUGUUCCUCAGUGCAGCUUUGAUCACACCACUGUGCCCAAACAAAAUCUUUCAUGGCCCCCAGCUACCCGGUGAUCAAAGUCCAGGGUCCUCACUCCAGCAUUAAAGAGCCUCUGUAUUGUGGAUCCCAAAUCAUCACAUGCCCCACCUCCAUCACCCAUCUGUUCCACUCCCACCU